rnacentral:lncRNA from 1 species
UAAGACAGUCCAUUUCAUGGGCACUCUCGUUUAGCUCUUCCCUUCGUUUUCUCAGCACAGAUUCAUAGCUUUCAUGGGUAAAGUCCGGUGAAGUCUCUCUUUUCCGGCCUUCUUCAAGACAAAGGUCCUCAACAGUUUGCAGUGCUCCCUCGUAGCCUAAGUGCUCGCAUUUUCUCUCGAAGAGGUUCUGCAAGUCAUGGACCUCCUUCUCAAGAAUCUCCAUGGUCUUUUGUUCUUGAUUUGUUUUCUCUUCCACUGUGCGCAUCCAAAUCGCAGUUUGUUCCCCACUAGAGGGUCCUGAGAAGAUCCAUGAUAGAAAACCAUCCGCACCAGCAGACACAUUAUUGCCAUUAGCAAUAUCUUCAGAACUGGCAAUAUCUCCAUUAUUCAAUGCUGAGCCCAUAUGUUUCUCUUGGAUGCACUCUGAGCCAAGCAAUUUUUCAUCCAGAAGAAGACAUGACCCUUCACCAUCAAGAAAAAUCUCUUCUGUAAUUUGAAGACCCAGGUCAACUUCAUCGUUGGGGUUACUUUGUUCCGAAUAUCGACUCACCCCACAGGCAUGUGACAAGUCUUGCAGGAAUUGAAGAAUUUUCUUGAGCUGGGUAGCUCCCAAGAAGCGUAUGCAUAUGGGUGACUGACCCAAACCACGAUUUAAGAAUUGCGAAACCGAGGGUAGAUUCCGUAGUUCAUCCAGAGUAAACUGUAUCACCUUAUCAUAAUGGCUGGUAGCUAAAUAACUGUGUUUGAUAAGUAGCUCAAAUGCUGCACGGAUGCUUUUAAGGAGCUUUGUACGUUCCGGAUCAUCGGAUAUCGGCCAUUCAUCAGUAAGACAAAACGGAUUUGACAGCCUAUCCUUUUCCGACUCAUUCUUCUCAUAACCGUUGCAAGCAUCUCCAAUGUUUUCUUUUUCUGGUGAAGUGUCAUUCCAUGCAUCCUGGAAGCAAUCGUCACCAUCGUCCAUGUAACCUCCAGCGUAAAACUCACUAAACUCAGAAUUUUGGAUUUUCUGCUGGCUGCAAAGCAACUUCACCGCUGCAGGAAAAUCCAAUGGUUUCCAUGGGGAAGUAAGAAGCAUCUCAAUCCUCUCACUGUCGAGACUCUGAGGCAAAACCAUUUGCAUCUUAGGAAAAACAUUACCCAUAUGCUCCCCUACAAUAUGCUGCAUAUAAGACUCAGAAUCCUUGAACUUUUCACUACACUUGCAGCAAACCCAAAACCGCCAAGUCUUAUUAGCUUCACAAAAGGACAAAGCUUCAGUUAUUAUAUCAUUUGCAUCGCCAUCCUUGGAUGCACUAAAGUGACUCUUAAGAUCACUAACCUUAAUCCUAAGUAAUUCUUUUUUCAUUUCUUUGCUUGUAGACUCCCAAUAUGAUCUAACCCGAUCUCUUCUCUCUACUGUAGAGCCGUUCUUCCUUGCAUUCCCAUGCUUUCUCCUCUCCCCGCUUCUCUGACCCGAGCCUAAUGCUGGAUCUGAUCCCUUGCUGUUAACGCUAUCUACCGAGGAAGAUUCUGAUUUCUGCUGCAACAACCUACCUGCAGCCACUCUCACUUCAAUCUCCUUCCUCUUCUCUUCAAGAGUCUUGGUAGCUUUCUUAAUCUCGUUCGGCCUUCUGGUCUGAACCAAGUUACUCUCAAUAGGAUCCUCAGCCAUCUUCCUCAUGUCAAACAACCGAAACUCCCCUUCUCCAUUUCCCAGAUGUUUCAUCCAGUCAGCCUCUGAGGGAUCACCAAAAGAUGCAACCGAAGGGAGGCUGGAACAAGAAAUCAUCAAAGAAAAAUCAUUUACCACCAAUUUUCAGGACGAAAAUAAAUUAUCCCGGUUAAGUAUUUAAACUAAUUUUUUUACAUAAAAGAUCUUCACCUGUGUUCAACUGAAUCAACAUUGAAGCGAUGGUCGUUUCCAACAGAAGCCUAUAGCAAAACAUUAAAGCUAGUUACAAAUAUAGACAAGAAAUAGUUAAAAAGUAGACAACAGAUUAGUUCUAACCUUUGAAUCCUUCAAUUUUUUAGAGUGUUUAUUCUUUUUCUUAUCCUUGGACUUUUCUUGGGUGUGUUUAGAAUGAUCAUUUCUUCCUCGGGCCUCCUUCUUAGAAUCAAGAGCGAGCUCAACGAGAAACGCUUUGCUUGCAGCAUCAGACUUCUCAGUGGCAUCUUUCUCUGCCAAUGCCUCCAAAUGUGCCUGGAAAGAGAGAAAAGUGGAAUCAAAACCCGAAAGAACCCUACACCUAAAGGGUAGGAAACAUAACAAGGUCUAAUGAGUUAGAUACUUACCCGCAUGUAAGACCUGACCAACGGUAACAGUACUAUCUGAUAAUCAUUGGAUGAAGCAGGUCCAAGCCUUAGCUCUAAUUGCUGCACCACAGUAACACCGCGCAUCAUUCUUGCAUCGAUUCUGUUAAGCUGUAAUACACACAUACGGAAUAUUUGUUUAGGAACAAGGCAGUUAUCAAUUAUUCUCAGUCGUGUUGUGUAAAGAUAGAAAAGGUUACCUCUGUAGACAACUGCUCCUUUUGUUUCUGGAUCGCAGUCUCUAUGAAACUGUCAGCUUCACUAAAAGAAUCUUUCAUCCCCCAUUCAUCAGCUUCACCAGAUUCUAGGUCACGUAGCUGAGAACUAGUGCAUGUAUAUGUUUCUUCAUAUCCAAACUGAUUGCGGUUAACAGUGUCUGCGUCUCUCAAAACAUUUUUUAUAGCUUCUAAUUCAAAGCUACUACUAAGACAGUCCAUUUCAUGGGCACUCUCGUUUAGCUCUUCCCUUCGUUUUCUCAGCACAGAUUCAUAGCUUUCAUGAGUAAAGUCCGGUGAAGUCUCUCUUUUCCGGCCUUCUUCAAGACAAAGGUCCUCAACAGUUUGCAGUGCUCCCUCGUAGCCUAAGUGCUCGCAUUUUCUCUCGAAGAGGUUCUGCAAGUCAUGGACCUCCUUCUCAAGAAUCUCCAUGGUCUUUUGUCCUUGAUUUGUUUUCUCUUCCACUGUGCGCAUCCAAAUCGCAGUUUGUUCCCCACUAGAGGGUCCUGAGAAGAUCCAUGAUAGAAAACCAUCCGCACCA